rnacentral:sRNA from 1 species
CCAUAGCCCCGAUCGCAACGGCAUCCUUUUUUUGUGGCGGAUGGAGCAUAGCGGAAGCCGGCACAAAAAAAGAUACAGUGGAGAGCGGGAAAAAGC